GCCCUAAUAGUAUAACCAAUACCCUGGUCUUGUAAACCAGAAAUGAAGCUUUACCACUUCUUAGAGCA
rnacentral:tRNA from 1 species